GUCUCCUGGUCUUCCUUUUUCAGUCUCAGCAAACUUUCUGAAUUUACACUCUGCCAUGAAAAUUUCCAGACUUGCUGUUUUCUGCAUCCAGRAUCUCAAAGUGCCAAGAGAAACUGAGCAGAAGUCAGGAAGUGCUGCUUCUGGAGGACACAAGGUGCUGUUGAUCACGGCUUGCUAGGACUUGGUCUCAGUUGCAGGCAGGAGCUCUCUGCACCUGCCGAGCUCUGCAUUUCACAAGUCUGGAAGGUCCUCUACUGCUGAACCAAAUCCCUUGGUUGGGCUUGGUCUUUGUACUGUUUGCUCUGUGCCCUGCCUCUCUCUGUACUGGAGAGAGGUUAUUGUUUCUUUUGUAGUGUGUCCCAGGACAAAUAUACAGUUGUCUGUUAAGACACAGUAGAUUAUCAUGGGUUAAUCCCUGUAAAUGAGUGUGUGCAUAAAACAGCUAUGAGCAAGUUUUCUAUUUGCUCAGGCUUUUUAUUAUUAGGAGCACUAAAAAGACCAACAGAGCCAGCUAAAAAUCAAUCUGCCACUAUAUAGACAGCCAAUGAAAAGAAUGCAGUGUGGGUGUAAUGUGAUCAUAGCCACUUAAACCAGUGAUCAGAUAUAUGGCUACAUUCUGCAAAAGCUGCAAGCAGCAAAGAAACCCUGCUGAAAACUCCUGGACCACGGAAUUAAAAUAAUUAAGCCUUGCUGUUACUGGAAUAUACGUUGCUCUUGCAAGGUUGUUACAAGACAAAUAGGGGCAUAGCUUGAGCACAUUGUAUACAUGGAACUUUGCUUUUAUGUGUUUGACUGGGUUCUUAUUUUUAAAAAAUAAUAACUAUCUGCUAUUCAGAGUGCCUUGAGGAUCCUUCAGCGGGUUGAUGUCACCAGAAGCAUAGCCAUCAAAGAAAAAAUGCUAAGCAAAAUGUAUAGGUAUAAGCAUAUUCUUCUGAUACCUGAGCUCACUCAAGCAUCAAUGCACAGGACUGUAGUGCUCUGCACGGAGACUCCUGAAUGAUAUUUUUUUUUUCAAUAAG